UAUAUAUUUUUUUAAUUGUUUCCAUUCUUCAAAAUUGUUGAAUCAUAACCUUUUCCACCUUUUCACAUAUUCCUAAUAAUCUUUUAGGCACAAUUAUUCAAAAUUUUUCGAAAAAAAAAUUUCUUCGUCUUUUUUUUUUGAGUUUCUGGAAUUCACUCUGAAUUAUCAUGUCGGGAAAUAUUAACGGAGGUGCAUUUAACUUUACGGAAGACCAUACCAUAUUUUCUAGGGCCAUAUAAACAUCAUCAUCAAGGAAUAAAGGAGAAAGCUGA